UACGUAGGGGGCAAGCGUUGUCCGGAAUCAUUGGGCGUAAAGAGCGUGUAGGCGGCCCGGUAAGUCCGCUGUGAAAGUCCAGGGCUCAACCCUGGGAUGCCGGUGGAUACUGUCGGGCUCGAGUCCGGAAGAGGCGAGUGGAAUUCCUGGUGUAGCGGUGAAAUGCGUAGAUAUUAGGAAGAACACCGGUGGCGAAGGCGGCCCACUGGAUCGGUACUGACGCUGAGGUGCGAAAGCGUGGGGAGCAAACAGG
rnacentral:rRNA from 1 species